rnacentral:lncRNA from 10 species
GGGCAGCAAGGCACGCCUGUGACCAGCCCUCCACACCUCGGCAGCACUCGUGGGUCCUCCUCAACCAGGCGGACACGAGAAACAGAUGAUAACAUGGUGCAAGGACAGACUUCAGCUCACCAAUCAGAUGAAGGUUUUGGGGUUGGGUUUUUUCAGACAACGAUGUACAUUUUAGCUUCCAAAUGUGCACAGGGGCACAAAGGUCUGGAUGCUGGGCACUACGGGUACCACAAGAGGAUGGAAAGAACCAGCUCAUUCGGUUUUAUUGUAUGUAUGUAUGUAUUUAUUUUGAGACAGAAUCUCACUCUGUCGUCCAGGCUGGA